rnacentral:lncRNA from 1 species
UCUGGGGAGAGGGGACUCACACACAGAUGCUCCUCCACAGAUGAUGGGGUUACGUCCAAAUAAACCCACUGUAAGUUAGACACAUUGUUAAGUCAAAAAUGCAUUUAAUACACCUAACCUCCCCAAUGUCAUAGCUUAGCCUAGCCUACCUUAAACGUGCUCAGAACAGUUACAUUAUCCUGAAGUUGGGCAGGACAGAUGUGAGCCAGGCUAGAAGGGCAUCGGUGACCUUCGAGAGAAGGGUCAGGACAGAUGUGAGCCAGAUGAAGAACAUCAGUGACCUUCGAGAGAAGGAAAUGUCAGGACAGAUGUGAGCCGGGCUAGAAGGGCAUCGGCAUCGGUGACCUUCCAGAGAAGGGUCAAGACAGAUGUGAGUCAGGCUAGAAGGGCAUCGGUGACCUUCCAGAGAAGGGUCAAGACAGAUGUGAGUCGGGCUAGAAGGGCAUCGGUGACCUUCCAGAGAAGGGUCAAGACAGAUGUGAGUCAGGCUAGAAGGGCAUUGGUGACCUUUAAGAGUAGGGUCAGGACAGUGGUUGAGAUGGAAGCUGACUUUCUAGAAGAGCAUCGGUGACCUUCGAGAGAGGGGUCAGGACAGCGGUUGGAAGUGCUCACUGAAGCGAUUUGGAUUUGGGAUUUUCCGAUUAGGGAUGCUCAAGUGGCAUGUACAUAACACACAUAUUCCAAAAUCAAAAAAAAGCUGAACUCCAAAACACUCCUGGGCCCAAGCAUCUCAGGUUAGGGAUGCUCAACCUGUAUUUGCACAGAAUUUGGGAGAGAGUUUAGGUGCUAUUGUUGAAUGGGUGGCUACCUCAAGUCAAACUGUGCCCUUUCCUGUACUAGGUGACAGUGCCAAGCCUGCCCUCCCCUCUAAGGUCAGAAAAACAAUGAGCAACGUGUGUCAAUGAGGGCAGCAGCUUCCAAACAGAUACCUGGGGAAACCUGGAAAUCUUCAGUGAUGUUUUGGUGGAGUGAGAACCUCUACAAGGGUUUGAUUCUAACUUCACUUUUAAAAUGCAUUUAGUUUUAGUUCUAAAAACUAAACAUUAAAAAUGGUAAUAACGCAACGUGCAUCCUCAAAUGUCUUCUGGGGGCAAAUGUAAGAUGUCGGAGGCCCUUGCUUCUGUUAACCUCUUUCUCCAAGGGCUGUUCACGGCCAUGAAGACUUCAGGAGACAAAGAGCCUGUUACCACCUCUGUUUAAUUGAAGAGCCUCUACCACCACAAGAAGAGCUGUUUAAAACAAAACAAAAUGGAUACUAUUUGCAAAUUCUUAGCUGGAUUAAAUAAAGAUUUCUCUAUUCUGUGCAACCCAGAAGUAAACUGGGGUUGAUACACACACAUUUUCAUCCAUAACCUUGGUUUAAAAUGCUUCCUAUUUGCUGGAAUAGUUUUCAAUACUUUUACUGAUUUCCUUUGAAAAAUAUUUGAACUCAUAAAAUAUAUUCAUAAAAUACUUUUAUCUAUUUUGUAUAGUGGGAAUCCAAUGUAAAAUUUUGUCCCAUAAAUUUGAAAACUGCUGGUUUUCAAAAGGCAUGGUUUUCAAAAGGCAUGGUGCUGGUUUUCAAAAGUACAAAAGGCAUGGAUGUUGGAAUGAAGGCUGGAGCCAAAUCCUGGCUCACCCCCUUACUAGUCACAUAUCAAAUCCUGGCUCACCCCCUUACUAGUCACAUAUCAAAUCCUGGCUCACUCGUCACUAGUCACAUAUCAAAUCCUGGCUGGCUCACCCCUUACUAGCCACAUAUCAAAUCCUGGCUGACCCCUCACUAGGCACAUAUCGAAUCCUGGCUGACCCCUCACUAGUCACAUAUUGAAUCCUGGCUCGCCCCUCACUAGUCACAUAUCAAAUCCUGGUUGACCCCCUUACUAGUCACGUAUCGAAUCCUGGCUGACCCCCUGAGUAGUCAUGUAUCAAAUCCUGGCUGACCCCUUACUGGUCACAUAUCAAAUCCUGGCUCGCCCCUCAGUAGCCACAUAUCAAAUCCUAGCUCACUUCUCACUACUCACAUAUCGAAUCCUGGCUCACCCCUCACUAGCCGCAUAUCAAAUCCUGGCUCGCCCCUCACUAGUCACAUAUCAAAUCCUGGUUGACCCCCUUACUAGUCACGUAUCGAAUCCUGGCUGACCCCCUGAGUAGUCAUGUAUCUAAUCCUGGCUGACCCCUUACUGGUCACAUAUCAAAUCCUGGCUCGCCCCUCAGUAGCCACAUAUCAAAUCCUAGCUCACUUCUCACUACUCACAUAUCGAAUCCUGGCUCACCCCUCACUAGCCGCAUAUCAAAUCCUGGCUCGCCCCUCACUAGUCACAUAUCAAAUCCUGGCUCGCCCCCUUACUAGUCGCAUAUCGAAUCCUGGCUCGCCCCUCACUGGUCACGUAUUGAAUCCUGGCUCGCCCCUCACUAGCCACAUAUCAAAUCCUGACGGCUCACCCCUCACUAGCCACAUAUCAAAUCCUGUCUCACCCCUCACUAGCCACAUAUCAAAUCCUGACUGGCUCACCCCUCACUAGCCACAUAUCAAAUCCUGUCUCACCCCUCACUAGCCACAUAUCAAAUCCUGACUGGCUCACCCCUCACUAGCCACAUAUCAAAUCCUGGCUCGCCCCUCACUGGUCACAUAUCAAAUCCUGGCUCACCCCUCACUGGUCACAUAUCAAAUCCUGGCUCGCCCCUCACUGGUCACAUAUCAAAUCCUGGCUCGCCCCUCACUGGUCACAUAUCAAAUCCUGGCUCGCCCCUCACUGGUCACAUAUCAAAUCCUGGCUCGCCCCCUUACUAGUCGCAUAUCGAAUCCUGGCUCGCCCCUCACUGGUCACGUAUUGAAUCCUGGCUCGCCCCUCACUAGCCACAUAUCAAAUCCUGACUGGCUCACCCCUCACUAGCCACAUAUCAAAUCCUGUCUCACCCCUCACUAGCCACAUAUCAAAUCCUGACUGGCUCGCCCCUCACUAGCCACAUAUCAAAUCCUGGCUCGCCCCUCACUGGUCACAUAUCAAAUCCUGUCUCACCCCUCACUGGUCACAUAUCAAAUCCUGGCUCGCCCCUCACUGGUCACAUAUCAAAUCCUGGCUCGCCCCUCACUGGUCACAUAUCAAAUCCUGGCUCGCCCCUCACUGGUCACAUAUCAAAUCCUGUCUCAUCCCUCACUAGUCACAUAUCAAAUCUUGGCUGACCCCUUACUAGUCACAUAUCGAAUCCUGGCUCACCCCCUUACUAGUCACAUAUCGAAUCCUGGCUCGUCCCCUUACUAGUCACAUACCAAAUCCUGGCUGACCCCUUACUAGUCACACCCCUUACUAGUCACACAUCGAAUCCUGGCUCACCCCUCCCUAGGCAUAUAUCCUUGGGCCUGUCACUUACCCUCUUUGAGCCUCCAAGUCCCAUCCACUAAAUGGAGCUCAACUUAGCAGGAAUUACAUCCGAUGAGAUAAUGUAUCCAGGACACAGUAAAUACACAGUUACCUUUUCCUUCCCACCCCACCAACAUGUACAGAUAGCACUGAAUUGCCCAGGCCCUCUCAUGACCUAAGAUACCACAUGCAGGCCACACGGCAGCUGGACUGUGCAGCCAGGGCCCAGGGCUACCCCAACUGACCUCCACUCCCCUCAGCACCCUCCUCUGACCUCCGAGCUAGCCAGCUGCUGAUCCAAAGCUCUGGAUCCUUUAGGGCCGUGCAAAGAUGUGACAGGCAUGGGUAUGAGGCUGUGGGGGACUCUGUGUGUAAACUGAUGUUUCUUUAUAUAGCAUUUGAUAUUGGGUGGGGGUAUGAGGUUGUGGGGGGCUCUGUGUGUAAACUGAUGUUUCUUUAUACAGCAUUUGAUAUUGGGUGUGGGUAUGAGGUGUGGGGGACUCUAUGUGUAAACAGAUGGUUUCUUUACAUAGCAUUUGAUAUGUAUUCCAUUUGCCUUCUAAAGCCCUCCAGCGGCUACUCCAGUCGGUCCACUGCAGUGCUUGAUUUUGUGAAGAACCCUGUGGAAUGUGGUCUCUGGCAGCUGAGAAGUGCCUUCCUUUUCCAUCAGCACAAAGCAAACACAUGAAGGGAGCUGGGGUUUCUUGCCACCAUUUCACCUGAGACCCCUGAAAGCUGCAGCCCACUCUGCAAAUACUUUUCUUGGCCCUGGAAGUAGAGGGAAGUUUGUUGAGAAGCUGUUCUUAAUUUCUCACUUGUUUAAAAAUUACCCAAAACAGGAGGCAGGACAAUUGUGCAAAUUCCAUUUGAUGACUGAGCAGAAGCUCCCAGAGCCCUCGGAUGAAGUGAGCAGCAUUCCCAGGAGGCGGGACGUUGGACGCUAUUUUUAUUUUAACAUCUCAUAUUGCCCCAGGUUCUCUGAGUCAACACCCUCAAAGGGGACAGACAGAAACAGAAAGGAACUUUUGGGCUGAUUAUAAGGAUUCAGCUGGCCUUGGGAAAAGUCUAAACAUCCUUGAAACACAAUUGGAAAGUAAUCCAAACAGCCUGUGAGCUCAGGCUUCCCAGUUAGAACUGCCUGUCCCAAGUUAAUCUUGCUUAGUUUUUUUGGGGCAUCAUACCUAAAGAAGAAGAAGAAGAAGAAAAGGCAAGAAUAAGUAAAAGGAAAAAAAAGAAAAAGAAAGGCAGGCAAGAAUUUUUGUCCCUGUCGGGAGAAGAGUCUGGUCUGUGGACACGAGACACCUAAGCAAGUUUUUUGGAAGGGAGGCUUUGGCAACCCUCGCAAUUCGCAUUCACAGGAGACGUGCCCUAUUUUCCACAACAGGCAGCCUCGCCACCAGCCCCAGGAGGGAGGAAGCUCUCUUCUCAGUGUCUGCAGGUUUAUCCCUAAAUGAUACGGAAGCAGCAGCUGCCAGGGGAAGGGGAUACUGCUCAGUCUUUUAAAACUCUCGUGUAAGCUUGAUACUACAGUCAUGACCUAAAAAGGCAAAGACCAGAUAUGCUGAGCUCGCUGCAGAUGCAGCCUGCACACGGCCGCAGGAUUUGUCACCACUCAGCCAUGUUUAAAAAAGCCAGUCCAGGCAAGACAGCCACAGGCUCCCGCCCACAAGUGAUCAUGAACACACUUCACACUGCCUUAUGGCAGAGCAAGUGCAUAUAGCCCAGUCUUGUGUGACCUUCACAGCCAAUAUUCAUUAUAAUCCCCUCUCACCAAUAUUGAAAAUGGAUGCUCAGGGGAUCAGUGACUCGCCUGGUGUCAAAGUGCCAGGUCCGAAUCAAGACCUGCAGAUCAGGUCUUCUGUGGACGCUUCCAAUCCCAGGCUGCUUUCAUUUCUGAUGGACACGUCCUUCAUGUCCCACAGAUCCAUGGAUCGCCGGCAUCUUCCCUCCUGUUCACAUAGGUGAGAAGGAAGGAGCUGGCAGGCAAUGGCCUUCCAGGUGGGCUACAGGGAAGGUUCUUUUCUCAUUAGGUUGAUCCCUUGGCUUCCCUAGUAAAGUGGGGAGCUGUUGAAAAGAAAGAAUGGAAACGAGGUAAUGAUCCUGGAGCCUAACGGAAGGGCCGCAGCCAGUUUUCCCCUGUUGAAAGGACACAGGACUUCCCAAAGAGUUUUCAUGGCAAAAACGUCCAUCCAGCUACUAAGGAAACAGGAUGGACUUAUGCGUGCAGGAGAGAAAUCACUAAAGGACACAAGACUUCCCAAAGAGUUUUCAUGGCAAAACGUCCAUCCAGCUACUAAGGAAACAGGAUGGACUCAUGCGUGCAGGAGAGAAAUCACUUGGCUGUCACUGGAAGAGCAGGCUGUGAUGGGAACGGUAAGGACAGAGAAGGGAACGUUCACAGGAUAGAAAUUCACAGGGCAAGCAGGGUUCCAAGUCAGAAGCAAAACACUUUACACAACAUUACAGAGAGGCUCCACUGCAACUGGACAGGUCAGGACUGGGCUCAGUCGGCCACAUUCUGCUCCCACGCGUUGCUUCCUUAGACUGUCAGGGAAGGGAGAAGGGCAGCCACCGGGAGGGGCCAGGGUCACGGGCUUGCUAAUUCUUUCCUAGAGUCUGUUCUGUUUUCUGUCAGCAGUAAGGAAAUACAUUCUAGCAAAUGACAUCCAGUAAUGCUUUAAUUAAAUGCAGUAUUUUGUGCUCCAACAUGCAGGCAGAAAUCACUUCCAGAUGGAGAAAAUGAAAGCUAUUUACACAAAGAAGCAAUCCCUUUAUUUUAAGGAAAUUUAUAUCUCCCAAAGGUGUAGAACUUCGAGGGUCCAAGAGGCUAUUCUGAUGAAUACUAAAACAGGACUGGGAAUUUUUACUUAACAUAUAAAAUGUCAUCGUACCCUUCAUGUAGGCCAGCAUUUCAGGUGUCCAUGUUUCUAAGGCUUUUGCUUAAAUUGCCCAUUGCAGCUCUAUUUUAUUUUUAGGAAUCUGACUUGGAGUAGACGAGAAGUGUGAGACACUUGCUGUCACCCUCAAGCAGGCAGGUUGUUCUGAGUGCUCUUCCUAGGGAAGGAAUCCCGUUUCCAGCAGGUUAUUCCGAGUGCUCUUCCUAGGGAAGGAAUCCCAGUCACCCUCAAGCAGGCAGGUUGUGGCAGGUUAUUCUGAGUGCUCUUCCUAGGGAAGGAAUCCCGUUUCCAGCAGGUUAUUCCGAGUGCUCUUCCUACGGGAGGAAUCCCAGUCACCCUCAAGCAGGCAGGUUGUAGCAGGUUAUUCCGAGUGCUCUUUCUAGGGAAGGAAUCCCAUUUCCAGCAGGUUAUUCUGAGUGCUCUUCCUAGGGAAGGAAUCCCAUUUCCAGCAGGUUAUUCCGAGUGCUCUUCCUAGCGAAGGAAUCCCAUUUCCAGCAGGUUAUUCCGAGUGCUCUUCCUAGCGAAGGAAUCCCAUUUCCAGCAGGUUAUUCCGAGUGCUCUUCCUAGCGAAGGAAUCCCAUUUCCAGCAGGUUAUUCCGAGUGCUCUUCCUAGAGAAGGAAUCCCAUUUCCAGCAGGUUAUUCCGAGUGCUCUUCCUAGCGAAGGAAUCCCAUUUCCAGCAGGUUAUUCCAAGUGCUCUUCCUAGGGAAGGAACCCCAUUUCCAGCAGGUUAUUCCGAGUGCUCUUCCUAGGGAAGGAACCCCAUUUCCAGCAGGUUAUUCUGAGUGCUCUUCCUAGGGAAGGAAUCCCAUUUCCAGCAGGUUAUUCGGAGUGCUCUUCCUAGGGAAGGAAUCCCAUUUCCAGCAGGUUAUUCCGAGUGCUCUUUCUAGGGAAGGAACCCCAUUUCCAGCAGGUUAUUCCGAGUGCUCUUCCUAGGGAAGGAACCCCAUUUCCAGCAGGUUAUUCCGAGUGCUCUUCCUAGAGAACGAAUCCCAUUUCCAGCAGGUUAUUCCGAGUGCUCUUCCUAGGGAAGGAACCCCAUUUCCAGCAGGNNNNNNNNNNCAGGUUGUAGCAGGUUAUUCCGAGUGCUCUUUCUAGGGAAGGAAUCCCAUUUCCAGCAGGUUAUUCUGAGUGCUCUUCCUAGGGAAGGAAUCCCAUUUCCAGCAGGUUAUUCCGAGUGCUCUUCCUAGCGAAGGAAUCCCAUUUCCAGCAGGUUAUUCCGAGUGCUCUUCCUAGCGAAGGAAUCCCAUUUCCAGCAGGUUAUUCCGAGUGCUCUUCCUAGCGAAGGAAUCCCAUUUCCAGCAGGUUAUUCCGAGUGCUCUUCCUAGGGAAGGAAUCCCAUUUCCAGCAGGUUAUUCCGAGUGCUCUUCCUAGGGAAGGAAUCCCAUUUCCAGCAGGUUAUUCCGAGUGCUCUUCCUAGCGAAGGAAUCCCAUUUCCAGCAGGUUAUUCCGAGUGCUCUUC